GCCAUGCAUGUCUAAGUAUAAAGGUUACAUACAAUGAAACUGCGAAUGGCUCAUUCAAACAGUUAUAGUUUAUUUGGAUUAAAACAUUUGUUUAAAUGGAUAACCGUAGUAAUUCUAGGGCUAAUACAUGCGUUACGAGGGACUUUUUGGAACCUCAGUAUUUAUUAGAUUUCAAACCAAUAUUCCGCAAGGUCUACUGAGAUGAUUCAUGAUAACUGAUCGAAUUGCCGGUCUACCGGCAAUAAGUCAUUCAUGUUUCUGCUUCCCAUCAGCUUGAUGGUAGUGUAUUGGACAACCAUGGCAUUCACGGGCUAUCGGGGGAUUAGGGUUCGAUUCCGGAGAGGGAGCCUGAGAAACGGCUACCACUUCUACGGAAGGCAGCAGGCGCGAAAAUUAUCCAAUCCUGAUUCAGGGAGGUAGUGAAAGAAAUAAUGAACUAGGAUUUAUCCUGGGGUCACAAUGGGCUUGAUUUGCAAACUUUAUUUAGCGAGGAACAAUUGGAGGGCAAGUCUGGUGCCAGCAGCCGCGGUAAUUCCAGCUCCAAUAGUGUAUAUUAAUGUUCCUGCAGUUAUUCGAUGCUCGUAGUUGGAUUUCUGGGGGCUGAGAUUGGAAGGUGGCCAAGGUCACCGCCGAACUCUUCCUUCAUCCACCUGUUAACGUUGUCCGGGAUUUGUUUCUCGGCUUCAGGCUCAGGUAUUUUACCCUUUCUAUAUAUUCAUUUAUUUAUCUUCUUUUUGAGUAAAUUAUAGUGUUUCAGGCAGGCGUGCGCCGGAAUACUUUAGCAUGGAAUAAUCGAAUUGGACCGUGUAUUCUUAUAGAAUUCUUCCUUAUUUGUUGGUUUCAAGGACACGGAAAUGGUUAAUAGGGAUAGUGUUUUCAGGGGAGGCAUUAGUAUUUAAUUUCCAGAGGUGAAAUUCUUUGAAAUAUUAAAGACUAACUUAUGCGAAAGCAUUUAUUUUGCCAAUAAUGUUUUCAUUAAUCAUUGAACGAAAGUUAGGGGAUCAAAGACGAUCAGAUACCGUCCUAGUCUUAACCAUAAACGUUGCCGACUAGGGAUCGGAGGGCGUGCACAUUCCGCCUUCGGCACCUUACGAGAAAUCAAAGUCUUUUGGGUUCUGGGGGUAGUAUGGUCGCAAGGCUGAAACUUAAAGGAAUUGACGGAAGGGCACCACCAGGAGUGGAGCUUGCGGCUCAAUUUGACUCAACACGGGAAAUCUUACCAGGUCCAGACAUAGCGAGGAUUGACAGAUUGAUAGCUCUUUCUUGAUUCUAUGGGUAUUUAUUUUAAUUUUGGUGGUGCAUGGCCGUUCUUAGUUGGUGGAGUGAUUUGUCUGGUUAAUUCCGUUAAACGAACGAGACCUCAGCCUGCUAAAUAGUUACC
rnacentral:rRNA from 1 species